GAUGAACGCUGGCGGCGUGCCUAAUACAUGCCAGUCGAGCGGACAGACGAGGAGCUUGCUCCUCUGACGUUAGCGGCGGACGGGUGAGUAACACGUGGAUAACCUACCUAUAAGACUGGGAUAACUUCGGGAAACCGGAGCUAAUACCGGAUAAUAUAUUGAACCGCAUGGUUCAAUAGUGAAAGACGGUUUUGCUGUCACUUAUAGAUGGAUCCGCGCCGCAUUAGCUAGUUGGUAAGGUAACGGCUUACCAAGGCGACGAUGCGUAGCCGACCUGAGAGGGUGAUCGGCCACACUGGAACUGAGACACGGUCCAGACUCCUACGGGAGGCAGCAGUAGGGAAUCUUCCGCAAUGGGCGAAAGCCUGACGGAGCAACGCCGCGUGAGUGAUGAAGGUCUUCGGAUCGUAAAACUCUGUUAUUAGGGAAGAACAAAUGUGUAAGUAACUAUGCACGUCUUGACGGUACCUAAUCAGAAAGCCACGGCUAACUACGUG
rnacentral:rRNA from 1 species